rnacentral:rRNA from 1 species
ACGCGUAUGCAACCUACCUUAUACAGGGGUAUAGCCCGGAGAAAUUCGGAUUAAUCCCCCAUGGUACUGAGACACCGCAUGGUGCUUCAGUUAAAGCUUCGGCGGUAUAAGAUGGGCAUGCGUCCUAUUAGCUAGAUGGUAAGGUAACGGCUUACCAUGGCUACGAUAGGUAGGGGGCCUGAGAGGGUGGUCCCCCACACUGGUACUGAGACACGGACCAGACUCCUACGGGAGGCAGCAGUGAGGAAUAUUGGUCAAUGGGCGCAAGCCUGAACCAGCCAUGCCGCGUGCAGGAAGAAUGCCCUAUGGGUUGUAAACUGCUUUUAUUUGGGAAUAAACCUUUCUACGUGUAGGAAGCUGAAGGUACCAAAUGAAUAAGCACCGGCUAACUCCGUGCCAGCAGCCGCGGUAAUACGGAGGGUGCAAGCGUUAUCCG